rnacentral:rRNA from 1 species
UACAGAGGUCUCAAGCGUUGUUCGGAUUCAUUGGGCGUAAAGGGUGCGUAGGCGGCGCGGUAAGUCGGGUGUGAAAUCUUGGAGCUUAACUCCGAAACUGCAUUCGAUACUGCCGUGCUUGAGGACUGGAGAGGAGACUGGAAUUUACGGUGUAGCGGUGAAAUGCGUAGAUAUCGUAAGGAAGACCAGUGGCGAAGGCGGGUCUCGUGGACAGUUCCUGACGCUGAGGCACGAAGGCCCAGGGGAGCAAACGGG